rnacentral:lncRNA from 1 species
GCCGUUUUCUCAAAAGAAUAUAUUUAUACAGAAACUUAAUAAAUACAAAUAUCUUACACAAAAUUUAGAUAUGAAAUACAUAUUUAAAAUAUAUUGUAUAUAGCAUAUACAAUUCAUAUCAAUAACAAGAUUUUCGAAUAGUACCAUAUACCUCCUCCACUUUCUCUUGUUCAGAUUCAAAAUCUGAUGCAACGGGACUUGCAAUUUUACUACAUUCUCCUUUUUCAUCCGAUUUUUUCCUUUUCACUGAUUUUUGAAAUUUUGUGGGAGAUGAAGUUUUUGUCAAUCCUUUCCUUUUCAUUAUUUCCACAAUCUUUUCGGAAUCUUUACGGUGCUUAGAUCUCAACUCUUCGAUGGUAACACCUUCAUUAGAGAAAACAUUAGUAGAACCCAAAUAAAAACUUUGUCUUGUGUUAAACCAAGACUAAACGAUGGUACCUCAUCGGUAAGUAAAUUCUUCGGUUGAUUUUCUCUAACUGAACAACUUCGAUUUGUAUGUUGAGCCAUUAUAAAUUUUAAUAGAAAAAAAAUUGAUCAGAAACAGAGAAUUUUCGCAGAACUAAUAUUGAAAAAAAUAGCGACACUAAAUACAUUAACAAAAAUUAAAUGGAAAAAAGUAAC